rnacentral:rRNA from 1 species
GAUGAACGCUGGCGGCGUGCCUAAUACAUGCAAGUCGAGCGAACAGACGAGGCUCUUGCUCCUUUCACGUUUGCGGCGGACGGGUGUGAAACACGUGUAAACCCUCCUUAUAUUUCUGGUAUAAUUUCGGAAAACCGGCGCAAAUCCCGGAGAAUAUCUUGAACCGCAGGGUUCAUUGGUAAAAUUCGGUUUUUCUGUCUCUAAUAGCGGGUUCCGCGCCGCUUUAGCUAGUUGUUAAGGUAACGGGUUACCAAGGCAAGGAUGCGUAGCCGACCUGAGAGGGUGAUCGGCCACACUGGAACUGAGACACGGUCCAGGCUACUACGGGAGGCAGCAGUGGGGAAUCUUCCGCAAUGGGCGAAAGCCUGACGGAGCAACGCCGCGUGAGUGAUGAAGGUCUUCGGAUCGUAAAACUCUGUUAUGAGGGAAGAACAAAUGUGUAAGUAACUAUGCACGGCUUGACGGUACCUAAUCAGAAAGCCACGGCUAACUACGUG